rnacentral:rRNA from 1 species
AAGAAAAUUCGAUUCCCUUAGUAGCGGCGAGCGAAACGGGAAAAGCCCAAACCAACAAGCUUGCUUGUUGGGGUUGUAGGACACUCUGUACGGAGUUACAAAGGACGACAUUAGACGAAUCAUCUGGAAAGAUGAAUCAAAGAAGGUAAUAAUCCUGUAGUCGAAAAUGUUGUCUCUCUUGAGUGGAUCCUGAGUACGACGGAGCACGUGAAAUUCCGUCGGAAUCUGGGAGGACCAUCUCCUAAGGCUAAAUACUCUCUAGUGACCGAUAGUGAACCAGUACCGUGAGGGAAAGGUGAAAAGCACCCCGGAAGGGGAGUGAAAUAGAACCUGAAACCGUGUGCUUACAAGUAGUCAGAGCCCGUUAAUGGGUGAUGGCGUGCCUUUUGUAGAAUGAACCGGCGAGUUACGAUUUGAUGCAAGGUUAAGCAGUAAAUGUGGAGCCGUAGCGAAAGCGAGUCUGAAUAGGGCGUUUAGUAUUUGGUCGUAGACCCGAAACCAGGUGAUCUACCCUUGGUCAGGUUGAAGUUCAGGUAACACUGAAUGGAGGACCGAACCGACUUACGUUGAAAAGUGAGCGGAUGAACUGAGGGUAGCGGAGAAAUUCCAAUCGAACCUGGAGAUAGCUGGUUCUCUCCGAAAUAGCUUUAGGGCUAGCCUCAAGUGAUGAUUAUUGGAGGUAGAGCACUGUUUGGACGAGGGGCCCCUCUCGGGUUACCGAAUUCAGACAAACUCCGAAUGCCAAUUAAUUUAACUUGGGAGUCAGAACAUGGGUGAUAAGGUCCGUGUUCGAAAGGGAAACAGCCCAGACCACCAGCUAAGGUCCCAAAAUAUAUGUUAAGUGGAAAAGGAUGUGGCGUUGCCCAGACAACUAGGAUGUUGGCUUAGAAGCAGCCAUCAUUUAAAGAGUGCGUAAUAGCUCACUAGUCGAGUGACACUGCGCCGAAAAUGUACCGGGGCUAAACAUAUUACCGAAGCUGUGGAUUGUCCUUUGGACAAUGGUAGGAGAGCGUUCUAAGGGCGUUGAAGCAUGAUCGUAAGGACAUGUGGAGCGCUUAGAAGUGAGAAUGCCGGUGUGAGUAGCGAAAGACGGGUGAGAAUCCCGUCCACCGAUUGACUAAGGUUUCCAGAGGAAGGCUCGUCCGCUCUGGGUUAGUCGGGUCCUAAGCUGAGGCCGACAGGCGUAGGCGAUGGAUAACAGGUUGAUAUUCCUGUACCACCUAUAAUCGUUUUAAUCGAUGGGGGGACGCAGUAGGAUAGGCGAAGCGUGCGAUUGGAUUGCACGUCUAAGCAGUAAGGCUGAGUAUUAGGCAAAUCCGGUACUCGUUAAGGCUGAGC